rnacentral:rRNA from 1 species
GUAGGUGCAAAUAACCUUUGAUCCGAAGAUUUCCGAAUGGGGCAACCCGGCUGGUAGAAGGCCAGUCAUUCCGUAAGGAAGGCGAACGUGGGGAACUGAAACAUCUAAGUACCCAUAGGAGAAGAAAACAAAAGUGAUUCCGCAAGUAGUGGCGAGCGAACGCGGAACAGCCCAAACCGAUGAUGUUUAGGCAUUGUCGGGGUAGUAGGACCACGUUGUGGCAAGAGAUUAAGGAAGUAGAACGUUUUGGAACAAACGGCCGUAGACGGUGAAAGCCCGGUAUACGACUCUUUAACGAAGCCUAGUGGAAUCCUGAGUAGCGCGGAGCACGAGAAAUUCUGUGUGAAUCAGCGGGGCCCAUCCCGUAAGGCUAAAUACUCCCGAGAGACCGAUAGCGAACCAGUACUGUGAAGGAAAGGUGAAAAGCACCUCGAACAGAGGAGUGAAAUAGUCCCUGAAACCGUCUGCCUACAAGCGGUCGGAGCAACGUAAGUUGUGACGGCGUGCCUUUUGCAUAAUGAACCUACGAGUUACUUUCUCCGGCAAGGUUAAGGGCUUCAGGCCCGGAGCCGAAGCGAAAGCGAGUCUUAAUAGGGCGUGAUAGUCGGAGUGAGUAGACGCGAAACCAAGUGAUCUACCCUUGGUCAGGAUGAAGGUUGGGUAACACCAACUGGAGGUCCGAAUGGGUAUACGUUGAAAAGUGUUCCAAUGAACUGAGGGUAGGGGUGAAAGGCUAAUCAAACUUGGAGAUAGCUCGUACUCCCCGAAAUGCAUUUAGGUGCAGCCUUUAUUUAGUAUAGCAUGAGGUAGAGCGACUGAUUGGAUGCGAGGGCUUCACCGCCUAUCAAGUCCAGAUAAACUCCGAAUGCGUGCUAUAUAUUGAUAAGGAGUGAGGGCGCGGGUGCUAAGGUCCGCGUCCGAGAGGAGAAGAAUCCAGACCAUCAGCUAAGGUCCCCAAAUAACAGUUAAGUUGAACUAACGAAGUCGGACUGCAGAGACAGCUAGGAUGUUGGCUUGGAAGCAGCCAUUCAUUUAAAGAGUGCGUAACAGCUCACUAGUCGAGGAGUCCGGCGUGGAUAAUACUCGGGCAUAAACUGUUUACCGAAGCUAUGGAUGUGUAAACACAUGGUAGGGGAGCAUUCCAACGGCGUCGAAGGUGAAGGAUGACCUUUGCUGGAGCUUUUGGAAACGCAAAUGUAGGUAUAAGUAACGAUAAAGGAGGUGAGAAACCUCCUCGCCGAAAGACUAAGGUUUCCUGAUCAACGUUAAUCGGAUCAGGGUAAGUCGGGACCUAAGGUUAAGCCGAACGGCGAUACCGAUGGAAGAAUGGUUUAAUAUUCCCAUACUACUUUAUGGAGCGAUGUGGAGACGGAGAAGUGACAGUCCUGCCAUCUGACGGAAUAGGUGGUUGAAGAGUGUAGAUGUAGAUUCCUGUAGGCAAAUCCGCAGGGAGAGUCGACCUUGACAGUAUGCCGCGUGCUUGCACAAGGCAAAAUGGACGUAAUCAGGCUCCCAAGAAAAUCCGCUAAGCAUAUUCAUAAAGUACCCGUACCGUAAACGGACACACGUAGUUGGGUUGAAAAUACUGAGGCGCUCGAGUGAUUCACGGUUAAGGAACUAGGCAAAUUGACCCUGUAACUUCGGGAUAAAGGGUCCCUACUGAGAGGUAGGGCGCAGAGAAUAGGUCCAGGCAACUGUUUAACAAAAACACAUGGCUGUGCGAAAUAGAAAUAUGAAGUAUACAGCCUGACACCUGCCCGGUGCUGGAAGGUUAAGAGGAGAGCUCAUCGCAAGAGAAGGCUUGAAUUGAAGCCCCAGUAAACGGCGGCCGUAACUAUAACGGUCCUAAGGUAGCGAAAUUCCUUGUCGGGUAAGUUC